rfam:Cellulomonas fimi ATCC 484, complete genome.
CCUGUCCCGCCCGGCGAGACCUCCCCCCGACAGCUCUGGCGCACUUCCCCGGCGCCAGAGGGUCGGUGGGGGAUCUGGUCGGACGGCGGAAGGACC